CUGCAUUUCUUGAAGUGUUUUGCACAUAAUUCAGACUGAGUUCAGUUGGGAUAGAUGUGCAUGGCCUUCGAACCCAUCCUCCAGCUGGACACCUUGAUACACCCUUCUGCCCCCGACUACCCAUGUAACUCUGCAAGACGCCUGCUCCUCCAGCCCAGACGCCAAGUUUCCUGCCUUGUUGACCCCCGCCACGUGGCCCCAUCAUCAUGCCCCACCUUUCUCUGUUACAGUGCACAGAUAGGAUCAAGGAACUGUGGUCCCCCGGGCUGACACUGUAUCUCAGCUAAAGAGCUCCAGUCAGACUCUGCAAGUCGCCGGGUCAGACUAAGUUGCCCGCAUUGUGCAGAGCUGUGCCAGCAGGGAUGAGGGCUGAGCCGAAGCCUCCAUUCAGCCAGGAGGAGGUCCCUGACAACCUUGCAGAGGUCAUGAGUUCCUUUACCCAGCAAGUCUACUUCCCAAGCUCAGUGCGCGUGCCAUGGUGCUCUAGGUACUAACUCCACCCUUUCCUGAUGGAAGACAGUCUGCAGCAAGAGGCCAUGACCAGGCUGUCUCCCCAGGUUCCCUGCAUGGGGUCCAGAGGGCUCCUGGAAGUCCACUGUCUCCUCCGCUACUGCUGAGGAAAAGACCAUGGCCUGAACCUGGAGGGACCGGGUGAAGGAAGUUGAGAGUAGACUACGUACGUGUAUCGUUCACGGCACAGCCAGGCUGGGGGUGGGUGGGGGGAUUCACCGAGGAGCUGAGGGGUGAGAAGGCCCUGCGGCUCUGGGGGAAGGGCUGCUAGGCUGUGGUCGGCCACCUGCUGUUUCACAUCGCCCUGGAGGUGACAGGAGCUGUGAGCAGGCCAUCAUCACCUCCGUCGCUCCCCGCAGGAACUCUACCUGGGCCCCCACCUACAGGCACCAUCCGGCCUGGGCAACCUACAGCUCCUCCCUCUCUUCCUACAGAGACACGGGGGGCAUUGAAUUAACACAUCUUUAUUUACACCGUCAUUUCCACAUCAUUUGCCUAUGAUUCAUUUAUUAUCAAGAGACAUGAAAACCUAAAUCUUCAGUUCCCAGACACCCACCAGUCCUUGCCCCCCUCUUCUUAUGUUCUAGGCUCCUCUUCCUAUGAUACCUCGCCUGGGUCCCAACUGCCCUGUCUCUGCCCCUCAUCCCCUGCAACCACUCCCACCACUACCUCCUCCCUCAGUGGUCUCUCUUGGCCUCCACUGGGGGCUGGGCACAGAGGCUUGGGCCAGUCCGG
ensembl:lncRNA